rnacentral:lncRNA from 1 species
UAAUCUGAAAUUAAUCAGCACUUAAAUCCAAUCUUUCAUAUGCUCCAUAGAUCAUAGAUCAAAAACUGUUCAUCUCCGAGAUCGAACAUGAACCUCGUGUACUGCUAGCUAGACAUAGUCAACUCUUCAAUUCCGUUUGAUCCUUAACUUAAUUCUCAAUCAAGUUAGCUUAUAUAUUUAAUCAAGUCUAGUACUUCCAUAUUGGACAUAUAAACAUAGGCCAAUUCUUUCCUACUUUGUCUGACUUGUGUGCAUGACUCCAUAGGUUCAAACACUAAGCUGGUAGCACAAGAACCAAUUCCUGCACUGAUCGAGAUACCAUCUAGCAAUGGUUUCCGAUAUCCAGAUAGAUCGAAUUAUCGCAAAAAAAUAUUUCAAAACCCAUACACAUGGUUACCGCAUAAUUCAUCUUUUUGAUUCUGAAUGCUUUAGGAUGGUCUCAGGUUAACUGUCAAUCGAGAUUGCUUCAUCCGCAUUGUAUUUCAACCUUUCAAAUCCAUCUCAUGGAUUACCCUGAUCAAAAUUUUGCUNNNNNNNNNNNNNNNNNNNNAUCCAGAUAGAUCGAAUUAUCGCAAAAAAAUAUUUCAAAACCCAUACACAUGGUUACCGCAUAAUUCAUCUUUUUGAUUCUGAAUGCUUUAGGAUGGUCUCAGGUUAACUGUCAAUCGAGAUUGCUUCAUCCGCAUUGUAUUUCAACCUUUCAAAUCCAUCUCAUGGAUUACCC